UGGGGAAUUUUGGACAAUGGGCGAAAGCCUGAUCCAGCAAUGCCGCGUGUGUGAAGAAGGCCUUCGGGUUGUAAAGCACUUUUGUCCGGAAAGAAAUCCUUGGCUCUAAUACAGUCGGGGGAUGACGGUACCGGAAGAAUAAGCACCGGCUAACUACGUGCCAGCAGCCGCGGUAAUACGUAGGGUGCAAGCGUUAAUCGGAAUUACUGGGCGUAAAGCGUGCGCAGGCGGUUUGCUAAGACCGAUGUGAAAUCCCCGGGCUCAACCUGGGAACUGCAUUGGUGACUGGCAGGCUAGAGUAUGGCAGAGGGGGGUAGAAUUCCACGUGUAGCAGUGAAAUGCGUAGAGAUGUGGAGGAAUACCGAUGGCGAAGGCAGCCCCCUGGGCCAAUACUGACGCUCAUGCACGAAAGCGUGGGGAGCAAACAGGAUUAGAUACCCUGGUAGUCACGCCCUAAACGAUGUCAACUAGUUGUUGGGGAUUCAUUUCCUUAGUAACGUAGCUAACGCGUGAAGUUGACCGCCUGGGGAG
rnacentral:rRNA from 1 species